rnacentral:rRNA from 1 species
CAGUCGCCACGGGAAUACGUAGGGUGCGAGCGUUAAUCGGAAUUACUGGGCGUAAAGCAGGCGCAGACGGUUACUUAAGCAGGAUGUGAAAUCCCCGGGCUCAACCUGGGAACUGCGUUCUGAACUGGGUGACUAGAGUGUGUCAGAGGGAGGUAGAAUUCCACGUGUAGCAGUGAAAUGCGUAGAGAUGUGGAGGAAUACCGAUGGCGAAGGCAGCCUCCUGGGAUAACACUGACGUUCAUGCCCGAAAGCGUGGGUAGCAAACAGGAUUAGAUACCCGCGUAGUCCCUGUCUCUUAUAC